AUAUUUACUGCUAGGGCUACUCGGGUAUCUUAAUCCGAUUUGGUUUUCCUAGCCUAAGCCACUCACCGUCGGAAUGCAUUCUGGUCAGGCGCCUUCGCCACCGGUGGUCCUUAUAGGAUUACAGGAUUUUACCCCUACCCCAUAAGUACCCCUGACCUCUCCUGCUCCCUAGCCAGAAGGUAUCCCGCGCCAGCCUCAACGUUAGGCGUUGAGAUUUCACGUGGGACGGUUCUGGCAGGCUACUGGCCCUUUAAGCCCAAUAAUCGUGGACACCACUAGUGCCGCCGGUAUUACCGUGGCGGCUGCCACCGGUCUUACCCAGCACUUAUUCGCCAAGCUAUUUAGACUUAGCAAAAGGCAAACCGAAGUUCGCCACUCAGACUCCCCCUAUCACGCUUUCGCGCAUUGUAGAGGUUUCGCGCCUGCUGCACGCCGUAGCGCUAGGACCCUUGUCUCAGUGUCCUUCUCGGGGCUCUUGCUUCCACAACCCCUACAGGUCAAAGGUAUGGUGGGCCGUUACCCCGCCAUCUGCCUGAUCUGACGCAGUCCCAUCUUCGAGCGGCCGUGCUACAAUUCACACGGCAAUUUGAGCUAGGAUUCCAUUUCAGAGUCCCUAGCCUAUGGCGUUUUAGCCACAGUUUCCCAUGGUUAUCCGCCUCUCGAAGUUAGAUUGACUACGUGUUACUGAGCAGUAAGGGCGAAUUCCAGCACACUGGCGGCCGUUACUAGUGGAUCCGAGCUCGGUACCAAGCUGGC
rnacentral:rRNA from 1 species